rnacentral:lncRNA from 1 species
AUGGAGGAGGGACCUGGGGAGGGGGUGGGCAGAGGGNGGGCAGCUUUCUCCUUUCCCCAUCUCCCCCUGGAAUCACUUACAGAAAAAAAACAGGCAAAGGAAAGCUCGAAAUGUUUACAAAGCACACUUCCCACAGUACCGUUAACCCUCUGGAUGCCAAACAUACACAUCAGGAGCUGCCCCCUCCCUGUGCUUAGGGCUGGUGGCUCCCACAGCAUCGUCCUGCUUCCCUUGGUUUUCUUUGGUUUGGUUUUUUUGGACACCAUCCCUGCUGCCUCCAUCUGCGUGCACCUGCCUGGAGCUUGCUGUCCAGGGGUGGGGGGUUUGCUUCUGCCCCGUCCCAGGCUCAUCCUGCUCACCUGGGAGCUGUCCAGGGUGGGGUUUGCUUUGCCCCCUCUCAGGCUCUCCCUGCUCACCUGGGAGCUGUGGGAAGUGCCUGUCUCUGCUCGGGAGGUUCUGGCUCGGUGGGAGAUGCUGGCACUCACUCCUUGCCCUCCCAGAUGCACUUUAAGGCCAAACUUCCCUUUUUCUCCUUCUCUGGGGCUGGCACAGAGCGGGCAGGGGAUGCUCCCGUGGCCCCAGGGGGUGCAGGACCUUCCACACACCUGUGCAGGCUCUGGUCCCUUGGCAUUGCCCGUGUGGGGAAGCCCUUUGGGAAUCCUGGGAAUGCCCACGUUGCCAUAAGGUUCAUCCUUUGGGCAUUAUGGGAUCACAGCUGCACUGCAGCUCCUCGGGGAGCAGCCCUGGGAGCAUCUCCCGCUCUCCCAUGGGAGCAUCCCUGGCUCUCCGGGGGAGCCCAGACUUUUUAAUCCCCUUUUAAUAGGUUUGUAGACUCUCUGAACCCUCGUAGACCUCCAUAGGUAGCUCUUGAUUUAAUCCCCUCCUAACCCCAUAGUGUUUUCCCCUAAGGCAGGAUUUUCUUCCGGACCCACCCAACGCAUCUCUGGUUGCGUGGGACAACUUUUUCCUCCUUUUAAGAAGAAUUUCUUGCCUCUGGAUAUAAAGACUAGACCAUCCAACCUCGUUUCCAUCUCUUGAAUGUCGAGUAUUACGAUGUAUAACACACGUUAGGGUGCUCUUUGGUGCUGUUUCAAUGGUAACCAGUGGAACUGACUUUUUUAAAUAACAAUAACAAUAAAAGAAACUUUAGUGCCGCUGGUUCCA